GUGAACAUGGUUUAAGCAAAACCUCGGGUUGUGGGCCCGAAAACAGGGGUUAAACCCCCCUUGCUCACC
rnacentral:tRNA from 1 species